UCUCCUAUAGCUCAGUUGGUAGAGCGUGCGGCUGUUAACCUCAAAGUCGCUGGUUCAAACCCAGCUGGGAGAG
rnacentral:tRNA from 2 species